AGAGUGAAUAGAGCAUUUUACCUUGCCACCAGCAAUCUAUGAGAGAUCUAUUUGCUCCCCAUCUUCAUCAGCAUUUGCUUUCCUUAUUCCUGAAAAUGACCAAGCCAAGAUUUCUGGGAAGAUAUGGAGAGAAACUAUUAUGAAAUGGAAAGGGGCCUGAGCUGGGUGGAAUGAGAUCAGUGAAAAGUCCUGGGGGUACUCCACCAAAAAAACAUCAAAAGAAGAACUGAAAAUGAAAGUAAAGCCUAUGUUGAAUUAGAAAGUGACUGCCUUUGUAAAAUAAAAUUUAAUUAAAAGCA